rnacentral:miRNA from 1 species
UUGUCUUUCCCUAGUUUUGCUGAUUUUAAUGUAGAUUUGUUGCUAAAUAUAUUGUAGGGUGGGGGAAGACGGGAC